UACGUAGGGUGCGAGCGUUGUCCGGAAUUAUUGGGCGUAAAGGGCUCGUAGGCGGUCCGUCGCGUCGGGAGUGAAAACUCGGAGCUUAACUCCGAGCCUGCUUCCGAUACGGGCAGACUAGAGGUAGGCAGGGGAGAGCGGAACUCCUGGUGUAGCGGUGGAAUGCGCAGAUAUCAGGAAGAACACCCGUGGCGAAGGCGGCUCUCUGGGACGGUACUGACGCUGAGACGCGAAAGCGUGGGGAGCGAACAGG
rnacentral:rRNA from 1 species